AUUAUUAUACUUCAAAAAAUACCCACCACCGCCUUUCUUCGAAAGCCUGUAUCUCCCACAUUCUGUGGCUGCUUAUUGGUUUCCAUUUAUUUACAGCCAGCAACAGUUGAUUCAAUGUGUCAGUGGUACAUCUGAAAAGAUUCAUGAAGGCAAAGGAAGAUGAAGAUCUAGCAUGAAGAACAACUAAAUUGCUUGGAUUUCUUAGGAAAGCAUUCUUUGUGCAGGAUUCUGAUUACUAUUUCUCCCACUAAAAUGACUGUCUCCCCACUGCAUCCUUGAAACAACUGUUGUGGUCUCCUGCUGAUCAUUUUUUCAUUUUGAUUGUUAUGGAUACUAUUUAGAAACUUCUCUCUUAAUAAACCUGAUAACCUCACUGUAAAGGGCUUGUGUUGUUUUGUUAUAUGGAUUUUUAUUUAGCUUUCUAAUUAGUUUUAUCAUGUGUUUAGAUCUGAGCAGCUUAAAGAAAAAAACAACAAAAGAUACUAUUAAUUAUAUAGUACGCUAGAUCUGAGAAAUCUGUUUCUUCUGUCUUUGGGGAAAAUGGAUCAUUCAUCAAAUGGUGUCACAACACCAUCUGAUUCAUCUGGUGCUGGAGAUGUGCACCAUCCUUACAGAAGUUUGACUUUUGAUCAUACCAGUGAGCCAACUGGAGAACGAGCUUGUCAUCGGACAAGUUUUUCCCUGGAUAUCACUGAUAAAACAGAAAUAGACAAUAGUCAGUUGUCGAAGCGAGGCAUAAUUGUCACAGAUAUUGAUCAAGCGAUGUUGGACCAUGACACCAGAAUACUUGCUCAGAUGAACAACAUCAGGGCUCAAAAAAGUAUCGAUGUUAUGGCUGUUGCUCCACGAGCAACAGGCAUGCCCCUUCUCUCUCCAGAACCAACAGCAAGUAGCAAAAAACAUUCAUUGCAAGAUGCCAAUAGUGCUAUAGCUUCUGCCAAACUUCUUAGUUCAGCAAAUAAUGGCCCUGAAUCAGGAACGGGCAAUGAAUAUGUGAAACAAUUCAAUAACACAGUACAAAGUUCUUUAAAUGGCAAUUAUUCUGCUUUUAAAGUUGACAAAUUACAUUGGCCGACAGAGGUUCCAACUAAAUUGAACUUCAGUCAUCUGGAGGUUUUUGAAGGGCAGAUGUUACUGCAGUGGUUAAGUUCAGGUUUUGCCAAUUCAAUUACCACUCAGAGCUGUGAUCAAGUUAACUAUAAGCAGGAGCGUCGGUUGGCCAUCAGCCAAAUCUGUACAUACCUGAUGGCUGCAGGAGUAAUUAAACAGCUGGACACUACUCAGGAGAAAGACUUAAUUUUCAGGCCUGACUGCAUGUACUACUGGACUCAUACUGAAGCAUCAUGCCUUACGCAACCAACUGAUGCAGCUCCUGGUAAAAUCGAAUCUUCCUUGUGGCCUUCCGUUUUGGUUUCUAAUUCUUCACAAAGUAAUUCAGGUUUGAAAUAUACUGAAGCUGAACAACAAGCAUCUCUGGCAAUUCUCAGACAAGAAUAUAAAGAGAGUGCAGAACAUCUAGUGAAAGAACACAAUGUUGGAAAAGCAGAAUUGAUGAAAGAAUUUGAAACCCAAUUAAAACUGAAAAAUGAGGAACUCAAGAAACUAAAAGCUCAAUGUGAGAAGUAUGAAGUUCUUUUGGGGAUUGAACAGAUGACGCAGUCAGCUUGGAUGUAUGCACAAGCUGCUGAGAUGGAAUUGGAGAAACCACAUUUGAAACCAAAUGAGCUGACUCCAAAUAUGAAUUACAGUCUUUCAGAUACUCCAAGUCCAUCUCAGUACCACACUCCUGCAGCAACACCUGACAAAAUGUUGGCAGACACUCCUCUGAAUUACAUCAAUCGGAAUGAGGACAAAUCUCCAACUGCAGUGGAAAACAUUAUGCAGAAGCAUCAACCUCUCAACCGAUGCCUUAUUUCUCCUGAAGAGGAUGAUUCCAUGUGUUUCACAGUGUUAUCACCAAACUCAUCACCCAUGAAAGAUGAUAACCAGCUGUCUAUGAUGAGUGACAUGUGUGCUCGACCCCUUUCUGUACCUCCUUCUUCCUCCAGCAUUCUUCAAUCAUCUCCAACUUCUCCCUCUGCACAAACUCCAUGCUCAAUAGUUCAAUCUCAGCCUGCACCAGUGGGAACAGUUUCACCACCUCCACCACCACCACCACCACCAUUACCAACCUUACCCAGUAUCAGCUUAACAUCUACUACACCACCUCCUCCCCCACCUUUGCCUGGUGCAGGCCCUCGUGUUCCACCUCCUCCUCCACCAAUGCCUGGUGCAAGCCCUCGUGUUCCACCACCACCACCACCACCACCACCUGGUGCAGGCUCUCCUUGCCCACCCCCACCUCCAUUACCACGAAUGCCUGGGUUGAGACCAGCUCCACCUCCAGCACCACCACCUCCAUCCUCAAGUAACACUAAAUCAUCACCUACGCUCCCUUUCACUGGAUAUACAAUGGCUAUGUAUGACACUUCCUCUAAACCAGUUGUGCACCCUAAAUCAAUCAUGAAACCACUAUUCUGGACUCGUAUUCAAGUUCAAGAGGUCAAAAGGAAACAGCCUACUGGUUCUCCAAUAGACCAAACUUUACUGUGGGAAGAACUUGAUGAGACCAGCAUCAAUUUUGAUGAAUUUGACGAAUUGUUCUCAAAGCCUCCUGCUGAUAAAACUUUACGAUCCAAAGCUAAAUCUAAACCAAAAGCAGAUAAGGUUGUAAAAUUGCUGGAUUCCAAACGAUCUCAAGCUCUUGGCAUUUUCUUGUCUAGUCUCCGACUGGAAAUGGCAGACAUUGAAAAUGCUAUCCUCUCAUUUGAUACAUCACUUAUGGACUUGGAGAAGUUAAAAACGCUUUAUGACAUUAGAGGUGAGAAAGCAGAAUUGCAGAAAAUUGAAGACACCAUUGCAAAGAAUCCUGAUGUGGCCUUUGAUAAACCUGAACAAUUUUUACAUGACCUCAAUCAAAUACCUGACUAUGCUGAACGGAUAUUCUGCUCUAUAUUUCAAUCUACAUUCCAAGAAAGCAUAUCAGUCUUGGAAAAUAAACUGAACAAUUUAAAGAUGACAUGUGAAGCAAUGGUGACUGGCGUGUCUAUAAGAAGAAUUCUCUCCCUUGUCUUAACUAUGGGAAACUACAUGAACGGAGGUCACAUGAAACGUGGUCAAGCUGAUGGAUUUGGGCUGGAGAUUUUAUCAAAACUGAAGGAUGUCAAAAGUAAGGACAACAGGACAAGUUUAUUGCAGUAUGUUGUCAAAGAAUAUGUGCAGAGAUAUGAACAAGAAGAUGCUGGCACUGAUAAAGUUGCUCUGCCUCUGCCAGAUCCGAGUGAUAUCAAUCAGGCCACUUUGGUGAAUUUUGAAGAUAUUUUGGUUGAAAUGGGAAAAAUUGAAAAAGAUUUCCAAUCUGCUGAGACUCGGUCUGAUAAAGUCAUGGAAUCUUCUGGAGAGAAGUUCUUACAACCAUUCAAAGACAUCAUGACUGAGUUCUUCAUUAAAGGUCGACAGGAACUAAAAGAUCAACAGGAGAAUCUUCGAGAAUGUCAAAACAAAUUUGACUAUGUAGUGAAAUUCUACUGUGUCAAGCCAAAAUCUGGAGAGAAAACUGUUACACCUGUAUAUUUCUUUUCACUGUGGAUGACUUUCUGCAAAGAAUUUAAAGAUUUUUGGAAGAAAGAACAGCAAAUCAUUGUGAAACAAAGAAUCAAAGAAGCUCAAAGCAAAGUAAAAGAACUACAAGUGAAAAGACCUUCAUCGAUGCAGAUACGUAAUGUUCGGAAAGGCGGCCUGAAAGAUCGUUUGAGUAACAAGCUGAAGGGGGAACUGUUACCAAAGUGAUUGAGAUCAGGUAUAUUUCAUUAUCCUUUUCUGUAUGUGCUUACACACACACAUGGACACACAUAAUAAUAAGCACUGAACCAAGAGAUGUGAGAAGCAAAUGAAGAUUUAAUAUUCCCGUUCACACCUGAUCAGCUUACCAUUAUUGACAGUGUAUAUGACUGUGAGUAGUUGAGCAGAUCCAUUUGCCUACAGACAUGACCAAAUAUUCAAAUAACUAACCAGUUUGGAAUAAUGUGAAUGAUGAAAAAUGAUGUUUAACUUUUGAAAAACGACUGACAGAAAGGACAGACAUAUAAUCAUUUUAUUUCUGGAGACCUUUUUUUUCUGAUGAAAACUCCAUCAUUUACCAAUGUUAUUCAAAUUAUGUGGCAGUGAUGUGUGGGGGGAGUAUUUAAUUUCCACUACAUUUAAACCAAUAUGAAUUUUUUGACUUUUGGUUUAUGUAAAUGUUGACUUUGAAAUGAAAAAAGAAAUAACUAAAAGCCUUGUCAACAUCCUGUAAAUGAAAACAAGUUCUUUCUUUCUCUCUCUCUCUCUCACACACACACACACUCUCUCUCUCUCUCUCACUCACACACACUCUCUCUCUCUUCACACUCACACACACACAAACAGAAUGAUCUAUGAGAUGUUAACCUACUCUCUCAGUUGAUCUCUGAUUAAAUAUCCAAAUAAGGCCUUUUUUACUCUUGGUGUGUUUGUAUAUGUACGCAUGUGUGUGUGAAUGUGUAUUUAUAUAUACAUAUACGUUUGUAUACAUGUAUAUAUUCCAUGCCUUUGUGAAUGUAUGCAUGCAAGAGAAUGUUGGCCCAUGAAUGCAAAAACCCUCUAGAAUUGUUAAGCAAUAAACAGAAGAAAAUCUUAUAUAGUUGUUAAGUCACAAAGGAAAGACAUCCCGUAGAAUUGUUGACCUUUUUGUUAAGAGAAGAAAAGGAAUAAAAACAAAGACUUGUACAAAUAAAGGGAAUGUAUAAACAAAUUCUAUUAUUUUAUAUAAAAAAAAAAAUUGAUUGUUGAGCCAUACACAGAAAGUAUUUUAAAUCAAUUUUUAUCAAAGAACCAAAAAUAUGUUAAGUUAAUAUUCUUCCAACAUCAGAAGAUUACCAUGUACAGCAGUUGAUCUGCAUACUAACCUCAAUUUGCAUGAUUGUUGACUCAGGAAUGUAUUGGCUCUAUGAUCAAGAGGAGUACUUAUGUAAAUGUCCUCCUACUAACAAAAGAUUAGCUACAUGAAUUAACUGCCUAUGAAUUAUGAAGAACUUGAUAUGGAUGUUACCUGUGAAUAUAAACAAUUGAACUAUAAAUAAAAGAUUAUUUAUAAAAAUGUGAUGUACACUUAGAAAAAUUUGACUUCAUUAGCAGUGGUUUUCUUUUAUAUAUGUUGACCGAUCAUUACAAGAUUUGAUGUAUAAAUGUUAAUCUUAUGUUUUGUAAAACCCAAAUCCAAAAUGAAAUUAUCAUCAACUCCCAUAUACCUCCAGUUUUUACAGCAAUCAGACAUGACCAUAUUUAUUUUUAUAUCUGUAUCUCCUUCCACCCUUCUCUUUCACACAUGUGUGUAGAUGUAUGCACAUAUGUGUAUGGAUGUAUAGUAAUAUUUUGAACUUGUUUAAAAGCUGGCACUGUUGGGUAGAAAGUAAGCUCACUUCAAGUCAUGUUUGAACCCUGGUUUUGUUUCUUUGUUGUGAUCAUUUUACUUCACUGUCAGUGCUAAUGUCUAUGAAAAAGAUAUGAAAUUCACUAUACAAGCUACACAUUUUCCACUUUUUUUAACCUAGUAAACAAAAUAUUUGUAUUAAAUGAAAUAAAAUAUUUUGAAAUUUGUCAGCAGGUUC